rnacentral:rRNA from 1 species
CAGCAGCCGCGGUAAUACGAAGGGUGCAAGCGUUACUCGGAAUUACUGGGCGUAAAGCGUGCGUAGGUGGUGGUUUAAGUCCGUUGUGAAAGUCCUGGGCUCAACCUGGGAAUUGCAGUGGAUACUGGGUCACUAGAGUGUGGUAGAGGAUAGUGGAAUUUCCGGUGUAGCAGUGAAAUUCGUAGAUAUUCGCAGGAACACCAGUGGCGAAGGCGGCUAACUGGUCCAUAACUGACGCUGAGGUGCGAAAGCGUGGGGAGCAAACAGGAUUAGAUACCCCAGUAGUCCCUGUCUCUUAUAC